rfam:Stegodyphus mimosarum contig27611, whole genome shotgun sequence.
GCCUUCGUGGUGUAAUGGUCAGCAGACUCGACGCGUACUCGAGAGGUCCGUGGUUCGAAUCCCGGCGAAAGCG